rnacentral:misc_RNA from 1 species
AACGCACAUUGCGCUCCCUGGUAUUCCGGGGAGCAUGCCCGUUUGAGAAUCAGUAAAUCCUCUCCCCUGACCUUUGUGUCUGGUGGAAUUGGGGGCUUUGCUUGCAGCUCGUUAACCCGAGUGGACAGCAAUCUCCUUAAAGUCAGUGUUGGGACUCAGCGUCUUCAUUCUCGAUGAAGGCUCAAGCUGUGAGCGCAUGAAUGGAGCAUUGCUUCAAAAGUAAUACGCUUGCCUUAGUAUGCUUGGCCAUGCAUCCGAAUGGGACACAUCCCCCCUCUGAAACAACAAAUGGAUGUGAGCGUAAGCUUACAGUCAUUAUUUUAACUUGGUCUCAAAUCGGGUAGGAAAACCCGCUGAACUUAA